ACGGGGCCCGCACAAGCGGUGGAGCAUGUGGUUUAAUUCGAAGCAACGCGAAGAACCUUACCAGGUCUUGACAUCCCCUGACAACCCGAGAGAUCGGGCGUUCCCCCUUCGGGGGACAGGGUGACAGGUGGUGCAUGGUUGUCGCCAGCUCGUGUCGUGAGAUGUUGGGUUAAGUCCCGCAACGAGCGCAACCCUCGACCUUAGUUGCCAGCAUUCAGUUGGGCACUCUAAGGGGACUGCCGGUGAUAAGCCGAGAGGAAGGUGGGGAUGACGUCAAGUCCUCAUGGCCCUUACGGGCUGGGCUACACACGUGCUACAAUGGUGGUGACAGUGGGCAGCGAGACCGCGAGGUCGAGCUAAUCUCCAAAAGCCAUCUCAGUUCGGAUUGCACUCUGCAACUCGAGUGCAUGAAGUUGGAAUCGCUAGUAAUCGCAGAUUAGCAUGCUGCGGUGAAUACGUUCCCGGGCCUU
rnacentral:rRNA from 1 species